AACGCUAGCUACAGGCUUAACACAUGCAAGUCGAGGGGAAACGACAGUAAAGCUUGCUUUAUUGGGCGUCGACCGGCGCACGGGUGCGUAACGCGUAUCCAACCUGCCCCCAACUCCGGAAUAGUCCCCCGAAAGGGGGGUUAACCCCGGAUGCUGCAAUUUUUCCGCAUGGUGGAAUUGCGAAAUGAAAAAGGUUGGGGCUGGGGAUGCGUCCCAUCAGGUAGUAGGCGGGGUAAUGGCCCACCUAGCCGACGAUGGGUAGGGGUUCUGAGAGGAAGGUCCCCCACAUUGGAACUGAGACACGGUCCAAACUCCUACGGGAGGCAGCAGUGAGGAAUAUUGGUCAAUGGGCGAGAGCCUGAACCAGCCAAGUAGCGUGUGGGACGAAUGCCCUAUGGGUUGUAAACCACUUUUGCAGGAGGGUAAAAUGCUUCACGUGUGGAGUAUUGCAAGUAUCCUGCGAAUAAGGACCGGCUAANUUCCGUGCCAGCAGCCGCGGUAAUACGGAAGGUCCGGGCGUUAUCCGGAUUUAUUGGGUUUAAAGGGAGCGUAGGCGGGGAGUCAAGUCAGUUGUGAAAAGCCGCGGCCCAACCGUGGUCGUGCAGUCGAAACUGGUUCUCUUGAGUGCGCACGAGGACGGUGGAAUUCGUGGUGUAGCGGUGAAAUGCUUAGAUAUCACGAAGAACUCCGAUUG
rnacentral:rRNA from 1 species